GACGAACGCUGGCGGCGUGCUUAACACAUGCAAGUCGAACGGAAAGGCCCUGCUUUUGUGGGGUGCUCGAGUGGCGAACGGGUGAGUAACACGUGAGUAACCUGCCCUUGACUGUGGGAUAACUUCAGGAAACUGGGGCUAAUACCGUAUAGGAGCUCCUGCUGCAUGGUGGGGGUUGGAAAGUUUCGGCGGUGUGGGAUGGACUCGCGGCCUUUCAGGUUGUGGGUGGGGUAGUGGCCUACCAAGGCGUUGACGGGUAGCCGGCCUGAGAGGGUGGACGGCCACAUUGGGACUGAGAUACGGCCCAGACCCCUACGGGGGGCAGGAGGGGGGAAUAUUGCAAAAUGGGCGGAAGCCUGAUGCAGCGACGCCGCGGGGGGGAUGAAGGCCUUCGGGUUGGAAACCCCUUUCGCUAGGGAAGAAGCGUUGUGUGACGGUACCUAGAAAAGAAGCACCGGCUAACUACGUG
rnacentral:rRNA from 1 species